rnacentral:rRNA from 1 species
GACGAACGCUGGCGGCGUGCUUAACACAUGCAAGUCGAACGGAAAGGCCCUGCUUUUGUGGGGUGCUCGAGUGGCGAACGGGUGAGUAACACGUGAGUAACCUGCCCUUGACUUUGGGAUAACUUCAGGAAACUGGGGCUAAUACCGGAUAGGAGCUCCUGCUGCAUGGCGGGGGUUGGAAAGUUUCGGCGGUUGGGGAUGGACUCGCGGCUUAUCAGCUUGUUGGUGGGGUAGUGGCUUACGAGGGCUUUGACGGGUAGCCGGCCUGGGAGGGUGACCGGCCACCUUGGGACUGAGAUACGGCCCAGGCUCCUACGGGAGGCAGCGGUGGGGAAUAUGGCACAAUGGGCGGAAGCCUGAUGCAGCAACGCCGCGUGCGGGAUGACGGCCUUCGGGUUGUAAACCGCUUUCGCCUGUGACGAAGCGUGAGUGACGGUAAUGUGUAAAGAAGCACCGGCUAACUACGUG